UGGUGCGAGUGGCGAACGGGUGAGUAACAUAUCGGAACGUGCCCAGUCGUGGGGGAGUAACGCAGCGAAAAGCUGUGCUAAUACCGCAUACGAUCUCUGGAUGAAAGCGGGGGACUCUAGACAAUGGUCCUCGCGCGAUUGGAGCGGCCGAUAUCAGAUUUAGCUAGUUGGUGGGGUAAGAGCCCACCAAGGCGACGAUCUGUAGCUGGUCCUGAGAGGGACGACCAGCCACACUGGGACUGAGACACGGCCCCAGACUCC
rnacentral:rRNA from 1 species